GGAUAUGAGGGCGAUCUAGCUACAACAUGUCACGCUAUUGAUGGCCAGGGUUGAUCUGGCUGAUCUGGCUGCCUUGGCAGGUGUCCCCUUCCUCCCUCACCGCUCCACGUGCAUCCCUCCCGAAGCUGCGUGCUAGGUUGAAGAGUAUGGCCAUCCCCAAUAGAGGAGGACCGGACUUUGGGCAAGGGUAUACGAGCAGCGAUGCUCCCCUGCUGGAAACUCCAAACAAGCUCUCAAGUUCCAGAAGGAAAUGAAAGAAGAAAACCAAAGUGUGGAUAGA
rnacentral:snRNA from 1 species